rnacentral:rRNA from 1 species
UACGUAGGGACCAAGCGUUGUUCGGAUUUACUGGGCGUAAAGGGCGCGUAGGCGGCGAAUCAAGUCAGCUGUGAAAUCUCCGAGCUUAACUCGGAACGGUCAGCUGAUACUGUUUUGCUAGAGUGCAGAAAGGGCAACCGGAAUUCUUGGUGUAGCGGUGAAAUGCGUAGAUAUCAAGAGGAACACCUGAGGCGAAGGCGGGUUGCUAGGCUGACACUGACGCUAAAGCGCGAAAGCUAGGGUAGCAAACGGG